rnacentral:lncRNA from 1 species
UUAUCCAUCAUUAAAUUUAAAACGCGCGAGACUCAGUAUUCUUCCUACACUUUACGGUUAUCCGCAUUCCCGUUUCAAUUAAUGGAGGAAAUGCAUUAAAAUUCGCCCACCGAGGCAGCGACACCCGCAGGAAAGGCCUUCCAAGAUGGCGGCCCGCGGGGGCCGCCCCCGGAGCGCGCAGGGCGCGGCGGCUGCACCGAGGGGCAAGGGCCGAAAGGCGGCAGCGGGGCCUGGACUGCAGGGACGCCCCAACGCACGGGUCGGCACCCCCUGAAUAAAUUCGGCCCCAAGAAGCACACCAUUGUCUUAAAUGUCUGACGCGGCUGCCAGGACUAAAACGACACUAGGGCAGGAGGGGUCCUGCGCAGCAAGCACUUCCGGGGUCAGAGGGUACGCGGGGUUGAAAGCGGGCUUCCCGCCCCGCCCAGACCGCCGAGGCUGCCGCCGGAGUCGCCACCGCCGCGCCCUCGCCCACCUUUCGCCCGCC